UAAAAAUUUGACCGACAGCUUAGUAAGGAUUAUAUAGUUAUGUCUGCUACUGUUUAAAAAGGCUUUUCUUUUUUUUUUUUCUUUGACAUAGAGUCUUACUCUGUUGCCCAGACUAGAGUGCAGUGGCACGAUCUUGGCUCACUGCAACCUCCACCUCCUGGGUUCAAGCAAUUCUCAUGCCUCAGCCUCCCAAGUAGCUGGGAUUACAGAUGUGUGCCACCACACAUGGCUAAUUUUUUUAUUUUUAGUAGAGAUGGGGUUUCACCAUGUUGGCCAGGCUGGUCUCGAACUCCUGGGCUCAAGUGAUCUGACUGCCUCAGCCUCCCAAAGUGGUGCUAUUACAGGUGUGAGCCACCUCGCCUGACCUAAAAACACUUUUCAGCUCCAAUUUUAAACUUAAAAUUUUUCUUAUUUUAAAAACAACAUAUGCAUGUAUUAUCAAAUACAGGAAAAUAUGAAGAGACAGAAGUACUUACUGAUCAUAAUCCUACCACCAGAGACAUCACUAUGAAUAUGUUUGUACAUUUUUUUCCUGUGCAUUCUAAAACAUAGUUAAGAUUAUGCUAAAUAUACAGUUCUCAUGCUCUUUUAUGUCAGAAGUGUUUUCCCAUGACAUUUUAAACCCCAUAGACAUAAUUUUCUAAUGGCUACAUACUAUUCUAUCUAACCAUUUCCAGAGGUUGGAUAUUUAUCCAGCUUCUGAGACUUCCUGUUAUAAAACAACACUUUGAUGAACAUCUUGGUACAUAAAUCUUUUGCAUGUGACUACUUCCUUAGGACAGAUUCCUAGAAGUGAAAUUCUGGGUCAAAGAGUAGUAAUAUUUUAAAGGCUGUUUAUGCAUACUGACAAGCUGCUUCCUGGCAAUUUGUCCAAACUUUUACUCUGACUAGCAUUGUAUGGGAGCUUCCCUGAGUGAAUGCUGCCUUUGAAGUGGGGUCAGAGACUGAGGACCAAGGGGCACAGAGAAAGAAGAGUGUGGUCCUCGAUGGGAGGACCCAUCACAAACCGUCUUGCACAGUGUAAACCCUGGAGAGGGGCUGAAGAAACCACUGCAGCCCGGGGCCGCCCAUUCUACCUGGCCCAUGGUAGGCACUCAAGAAAUGGUUUGCUACGUGAAUAAACAAAUCCACAAACAUAUAUUUCUGAAUUCCUAUCAUGCGUCAAACACAAGAGAUAGGGAGAGAGGAGGAAAAGAAAAGCAAGGGAUCAUGGGAUAAAAGGGGACAGUGGCAGUGGGGUGGACAGAAGUCAGAACUAAAUUUACCUCAUGCUUUAAUUCGGCGAGUUUUCUUAGAAUAGUCUGACCAUUGCUUACGUUGAGGGUCUAUAGUCCUCCCUUCCCCACAAGACAAAGUCCAACCUAAUUCAGCACCAAGAUCCAAGCAGCUUGGAAGAUACAGGAGGGAAAAUUCUGGUGUAGAUUAAGUGCCACCCCCCAGCAAUGGCCAGGACACAGCAGCAAUGUUACCUAAGAAAGCAACUGCGCCUCUUGCUGAUCAGCUAGACAUGAGGGCAGUGUCCUACCUCAGCGGUUUGCAGCGGACAUGCUGUCAGGCCAUUGGGAUAGUUCCCAUAAGCCACUCCUGGUUGUCACCACUAUUCCAAGUGGGCAGGAGCAGCCUUAUUGACUGAGAUGGGCGGCUAUGGACACACAUGGGUGUACGCAUGUGAUGGAAAUGGGGGCUUGGGGCCCUGAGGGUCCACAGGGGCUGCGUGGUCAGGGAGGGUGGGCAUGGCAUCACAGGCACCCCAGGGGAGAAGCUGGCUUUCUUCCCAUACUUUUGGCACUGUUUUCUGUUUUGUUUGCCUUCAAAGAGCAAGUGAUGGCUGGACAGCAAAGAGGAGUGGAGGCCGGGAGAAUGGGCAGCUAGCCCAGCGCUCUCCAAUAUCUGGGAGUCGACCGCACUCCUGCACUCCCUGUCAUCCCUGCUAAUGGUGAGGAACUGAGCAAAAGAGCCUCCAGAGUGACAGGUGACUUAAAGCGCACGUGGCUCUACAUUUACAAUUGAAGUGGGCUUUGGAGAUUGCAGAUUCUGAAUACCUGCUGGGGUGGUACAGAGGCUGUGUUCUGGUUUUGCCAUCUUGGACAGGGGGUUGGGAGUCUGGGGGGCUGCCUUCUCUCCUCUUCGUGCAGCUCUGCUGGGGCCUGUCUCACACUUGUGAGCAGAGUUAUGGCUGGAUUCCAGGGGAGACAGAGCUUGGUUGUGAAAUGUAAGGUUGUGAAAUGAAGGGCUUGUGAAAUGAACAAAGAAUGUAUUUAAGGGUCUUUCAUUUUAAAUCGAACACUUACAUAGCACUUACUACUUGCAAAGCUCCACUCUAAGCACUUUACCCAUCUUAAUUCAUUUAAUUCUCUUCUCAACCCUAAAAAGCAGGUAUUACCAUUGCUCCAAUCUUACAGAUGAGGAAACUCAGGCAUGGAGAGGUUGAGCGACUUGCCCAAAUUCAUGCAGUUAGGACCUGGCAGAGCUGCGCUUUGAACCCAGGCUGCCUGGCUCUAGAGUGUGUGCACGAAACUUCACUGCCAUAUGAACAAAACUGCAGGACAUAUGUUCUCAAAGCAAAUAAGCCUCCCAGAGAGGCUUUUCCUGAUGGCUUCAAGGACCUGCCCUAGCCUGGUCUGACUUCCCAGAGGGGAUCCAGUCCCAACAUUGGCCCUAUCUUUAGACCACAUUUCCAUCCCAUUCUCAGUGAAAACCCUGAGUCAUGACAGAAGACAACCAAUGCUGGAGAGAGGAGGUUUCAGGUAAUGCCUGUUUUAGGCAUCCUCUCCUUUAAGAAAAAUUUUUAUAUCAAGGCACCUCAACAUAAUAAUACCUUUAUUGCAUAUAGGUAGAAUAUAAAACUGACUUGUAAGACCACUCUGUGUGUGUGUGUGUGUGUGUGUGUGUGUGUGUUCUCUAGCUAGCCUGCAGGGACGGGACUCAGUUCCUCAGCAGCCCAGUGCCUGGCACAACAGGCAUUGAAUUAGAAGUGCCAGACAUUUUCAAACUUUAAGGUAUAAUUUGUUUGGACACUUUGGCUGGGCAUUUUGAUAAAACAUCCCUAGUUAAAAGAUGGCAACCAACAGGCAUCAAACCAAAACCACCCUCAAAGAGCAAAAUAUAAGGCCUUUGUAACAAGAGUCACAGAGUUAUGGCUGGCCGCGGUGGCUCAUGCCUGUAAUCCUAGCACUUCGGGCCGUCUCUAUUAAAAACACAAAAAUUAGCCAGGUGUGGUGCUGCAUGCUUGUAAUCCCAGCUACUUGGGAGGCUGAGGAAGGAGAAUUGCUUGAACCUGGGAGACAGAGGUUGCAGUGAUCGCUCCACGGCACUCCAGCUUCACUGCACUCCAGCCUGGGUGAUGGAGGAAAAAAAAAAAGCAAACUCACCGAGUUACAGAAUCAGCCAUUCUAUGGAGCCAGAAAGAGGCGCCUCAGGGAGAAUCUGUGACUCAAGAACACUUGCUGAGGGUCCCGGGCUUAGGUGCUUUGAACUUCGCUAAGGGCAGUCUUCUAGUUCUCUGUUCUUCCCUUCCAGGAGGACAACAGUCAGAAUACCCCCAAGACGUCCUUCUUUCCCUAAGGUCUCAAAAUCCUUGCCUCAAGAAGUUAUUCCUGAAGUCUAGCUUGAAUUCCUCCAGAUAGAGUUUAAACCAGACAAACAGCCUACGAACAUGUUACAAUAUUCAAAAACUUCUAAUUUAGUCACCAUCACUUGCAAAUAGGGAUAUCUCAUGGAAAUACGAUUUCUGAUUUAUCUUGAAAAGUCAAGAUGAUCUGGCCACAAUGGGCCUGCACUCCUGUGAGGUGGUAUCAUUGGCUUGGGGGUCUCACCAGUGCCACCCUGCAUGGGGGCACCGGGUGACAUGAUGCUCGAUUGAGCUUUCCCUCCAGGCUGGGUAAUCAGAGGCCAGGCCCUGUGUGUCUUCCAGGGGAUGCUGUCCUGAUCCAGGCUGGUGAGGCAAGGAGGGGCUGCGGCUUCCUGAGCUCUCCGAGCUGCUAAUGUGCGUGGGGAAUGCUAAGCAGCCUCCAGGCUCUGACCAGGUUUGUCUUCUAGGACCCACUUGCCCAAUGGGUGCCAGGACACCAGGUCUGGGUCUGGAGAAGAGAAUUCUUCUCCAAGGGAUGUUGAUGGUCCAUUCCGGAAAUGAAAGCUUCCCACGGUCUGCCCUGCACCAGGCUUUCAUCAGUGAGAAAUACCCCGAAUUUACACCCAAACCUAAAAGGAGAAGCGUAGAAGUGUUCUUGGCCCAAUUCUUUUAAUUGCAAGUCCUACUAGCAGGACAACUAAGGGAUUAUCCCUAAACUUUCAUUUAAAAGUCUGGGGAGGGAAGGAAGGAGUAAAAACUUUGGCAGUCAGAUUUUUCUCACUUUCACAUUUAUUCUUUACUAUUAAUGACUUGUUCAUCAUGCUGUACAACAAUUGUGCAAAGAUGCAUACGUUUGCCACUAUAAUUUGCCAUUAAAAUGUAAUAAUCAGUAAGUA